AGCGAACGCUGGCGGCAGGCCUAACACAUGCAAGUCGAGCGCCCGUAGCGAUACGGGAGCGGCAGACGGGAGAGUAACACGUGGGAACGUACCCUUUGGUUCGGAACAACACAGGGAAACUUGUGCGUAAUACCGGAUAAGCCCGUUACGGGGAAAGAUUUAUCGCCAAAGGAUCGGCCCGCGUCUGAUUAGCUAGUUGGUGGGUAACGGCUCACCAAGGCGACGAUCAGUAGCUGGUCUGAGAGGAUGA
rnacentral:rRNA from 1 species